CAGGCUUAACACAUGCAAGUCGAGGGGCAGCAUGGUCUUAUCUUGCUAAGGCCGAUGGCGACCGGCGCACGGGUGAGUAACACGUAUCCAACCUGCCGUCUACUCUUGGACAGCCUUCUGAAAGGAAGAUUAAUACAAGAUGGCAUCAUGAGUCCGCAUGUUCACAUGAUUAAAGGUAUUCCGGUAGACGAUGGGGAUGCGUUCCAUUAGAUAGUAGGCGGGGUAACGGCCACCUAGUCUUCGAUGGAUAGGGGUUCUGAGAGGAAGGUCCCCCACAUUGGAACUGAGACACGGUCCAAACUCCUACGGGAGGAAGCAGUGAGGAAUAUUGGUCAAUGGGCGAGAGCCUGAACCAGCCAAGUAGCGUGAAGGAUGACUGCCCUAUGGGUUGUAAACUUCUUUUAUAAAGGAAUAAAGUCGGGUAUGGAUACCCGUUUGCAUGUACUUUAUGAAUAAGGAUCGGCUAACUCCGUGCCAUCAGCCGCGGUAAUACGGAGGAUCCGAGCGUUAUCCGGAUUUAUUGGGUUUAAAGGGAGCGUAUAUGGAUGUUUAAGUCAGUUGUGAAAGUUUGCGGCUCACCCGUAAAAUUGCAGUUGAUUACUGGAUAUCUUGAGUGCAGUUGAGGCAGGCGGAAUUCGUAGUGUAGCGGUGAAAUGCUUAGAUAUCACGAAGAACUCCGAUUGCGAAGGCAGCCUGCUAAGCUGCAACUGACAUUGAGGCUCGAAAGUGUGGGUAUCAAACAGGAUUAGAUACCCUGGUAGUCCACACGGUGAACGAUGAAUACUCGCUGUUUGCGAUAUACUGCAAGCGGCCAAGCGAAAGCGUUAAGUAUUCCACCUGGGGAGUACGCCGGCAACGGUGAAACUCAAAGGAAUUGACGGGGGCCCGCACAAGCGGAGGAACAUGUGGUUUAAUUCGAUGAUACGCGAGGAACCUUACCCGGGCUUAAAUUGCAGAUGAAUUACGGUGAAAGCCGUAAGCCGCAAGGCAUCUGUGAAGGUGCUGCAUGGUUGUCGUCAGCUCGUGCCGUGAGGUGUCGGCUUAAGUGCCAUAACGAGCGCAACCCUUGUUGUCAGUUACUAACAGGUUCCGCUGAGGACUCUGACAAGACUGCCAUCGUAAGAUGUGAGGAAGGUGGGGAUGACGUCAAAUCAGCACGGCCCUUACGUCCGGGGCUACACACGUGUUACAAUGGGGGGUACAGAGGGCCGCCACCACGCGAGUGGAUGCCAAUCCCCAAAACCUCUCUCAGUUCGGACUGGAGUCUGCAACCCGACUCCACGAAGCUGGAUUCGCUAGUAAUCGCGCAUCAGCCACGGCGCGGUGAAUACGUUCCCGGGCCUUGUACACACCGCCCGUCAAGCCAUGGGAGCCGGGGGUACCUGAAGUGCGUAACCGCGAGGAGCGCCCUAGGGUAAAACUGGUGACUGG
rnacentral:rRNA from 1 species